rnacentral:rRNA from 1 species
CAAUAGCGUAUAUUUAAGUUGUUGCAGUUAAAACGCUCGUAGUCGGAAUUUGGCAGUUCCGGAUGUGUGCACGUCGUGUGCGCACUUCGCGGGGAUUGCUUUUGUGGUCUUGCGUAGGAUGAGGCACUUUUAUUAGUGAACGUCCUCACGCAACCACUUUUUACUGUGAGAAAAUCAGAGUGCUCAAAGCAGGCAUUUGCCGUGAAUGUAUUAGCAUGGAAUAAUAGAAUAGGACUUGGUUCUAUUUUGUUGGUUUGUUGGGACUGAGUAAUGAUUAAGAGGGACAGUUGGGGGCAUUUGUAUUUCGGUGCUAGAGGUGAAAUUCUUAGAUUACCGAAAGACAAACUGCUGCGAAAGCGUCCGCCAAGGAUGUUUUCAUUGA